rnacentral:rRNA from 1 species
UACGGGGGGAGCAAGCGUUGUUCGGAUUUACUGGGCGUAAAGGGCGCGUAGGCGGUCAGCACAAGUCAGUUGUGAAAUCUCCGGGCUUAACUCGGAAAGGUCAACUGAUACUGUGCGACUAGAGUGCAGAAGGGGCAACUGGAAUUCUCGGUGUAGCGGUGAAAUGCGUAGAUAUCGAGAGGAACACCUGCGGCGAAGGCGGCUCACUGGCCCGAUACUGACGCUGAGGCACGAAAGCGUGGGGAGCAAACAGG